UACAGGCUGCUAGAAAUAGUGCUGUCUCUGCAGCAGUCCGUAUUGUGAAGGACAGCUCUGCCUACAGAACUGAAUGCCAGUUGCUAGGAAGCAACAGCAGGAGAGGACUAUUCACUUACAAGUCUGUCUUUCUGGCUUUCCCAGAGGCAUCUGGUUGACUACUGUGGGAAGCAGGCUUCUGGACUCGGUGGAGCUUUGGUAUAAUCCAGCAGGGCUCUUAUGUACUUCUUACAUGCAUGGCAGACCCAUAUACUUGAUGAAAAAAAGCUUUUGGUGAAGCAUUGAGAGAUGCUCUAGUCUCCCACAAACACCACCCAAAUGGCAGGUUUAUAGCAGUGUUAGGAGGGUUUCUAGCUUUUUUCUGCCUCUGCUCCUGUGCCUUUACCAGCAGCCUGACACAAGCAGGAACAGCUUUUCCUGGCAUGGAAAUAAAGUGAUGUGAAAAGAUCCAACUGUUAAAGGCACAGAAGCAGGGACAAGGGAGUGAUAAUCCUUUCUCCUUAAAUAACCUUGUGCAAUUAAACACAGGCUGCAUGUGUGUAAGCAUCACUGAUGGCGUUAUGAAACCCGUCUUUAAAACUGCACAAAUGGGGUUGCAUGACGUGGUAUCCACUAGAAAUGGUGGCUGCUGCACAACUUUAAGACAGAGCAGAAUAGCCCUCUUCUGACACACCAUCAACAGUAGUGCAUAAACCUCCAAUGUGCUACCCUUCCACAUCUGGCCUGACUGAAGCUUUUUAUCAGCACCAUUGCUGUCCCCAGUUCCUAAUGGCCCUGACAGCUCUCAACUCCAUGCCAUCUAAGCCCCUUUCCCCAUGCUUGCCCUCCAAAAUUCUCUCAUGUCAGAGGAGCUGCCCCUCCCAUUCUGCCAGCGUAAACAUCUGCCAUUCCCAUUGUUCUCAGGACACCAUCUUCUUUGGCCAGGGCUUCACUCUUCUUUACAUUUGGCCUUUUCUUUUUAUGUUUCUUUUUAAAAUGUGUGUGCACAUGUUUAAUACUUCUCUUAGCAGCUUUGGGGAUGUGUAAAAUGAAAAGUAGGGUACACAUUUUUAGAAUAUUGAGUGAUCAGUGCUUGCUUCUUUUUAAUUUCUCUUACAUGGCCAGACACACACACACACACACCCCUUGUAGUCCCAGAUAGGGAGGCCCAUGACCUGCAUUUCAUCACAAAUGAAUGUGACAUCACUAGUCUUUGUUAACACUGCAGUUUGCUUAUUAAAUGGUCAAAGAUACCAGAGAAAACCACAAGCUCUGGAAGGGUCAUCAAGGACAGGUGGUGCUCCUCCUGUUAAGAGCACAUAAAAACACAAGGAAAAGCACCUGGCCAGAUUCGAAUGUAGCAGGAGAAAUGGCCAGAUUCCAACGCAGCAGGAGCCAGAGACAAACCCGUAUCCAUCGCAGGCGUCACCAAAGGGCCAGUCGAGGAGGCAGAUCUGGAAGGAGGGGGAGAAGACGACACCAAGGCAGAGGAAGGAGAGGUCAUAGAUCACGUGGUCACAGGAGGGGGAGAAGGAGAAGGAGAGAUCGUGACCGCGACUAAGCCCUUUCAUCUUCAUGGUGUCCAGUGACCUUGGUUUUAAGUCACUCAUCGCACUAAAGACUCUGCAAAACAAAAAAGUGAAACAAAACCACUCCUGUUUGAAGACUCAGGAAGAAUUCCCAAAGAACCAUGGAGGCUGAAACCAUUUGAACCUUGUCAAUAAAUGCUGACAUAGCA